rnacentral:rRNA from 1 species
UACGGAGGGUGCAAGCGUUAUCCGAAUUCACUGGGUUUAAAGGGUGCGUAGGCGGAUAUGUAAGUCCGUGGUGAAAUCUCUGGGCUUAACCCGGAAACUGCCAUGGAUACUAUGUGUCUUGAAUGUUGUUGAGGUGAGCGGAAUAUGUCAUGUAGCGGUGAAAUGCUUAGAUAUGACAUAGAACACCAAUUGCGAAGGCAGCUCACUAAGCAAAUAUUGACGCUGAGGCACGAAAGCGUGGGGAUCAAACAGG